CGGAGUUAGCCGAUGCUUAUUCCUCAGGUACCGUCAAAAUUCUUCCCUGAGAAAAGAGGUUUACAAUCCAAGAACCCUCCUCCCUCACGCGGUAUUGCUCCGUCAGGCUUUCGCCCAUUGCGGAAAAUUCCCC
rnacentral:rRNA from 1 species